UAUGUCAAGUAAUUUUCAUCUUUUCCAAAAUGAAUAAUUGAAAUGGGAACAUGUGAGAAGACCCUGAUGAAACUGGGAGCAUUGAACCCCUGAAUUCUGCUGAGUGUUCUUUGCAGUAAAAGACCCCUUCUCUACAGCCUUAUGGAGAGUUCCUUACAGUUUACUGAGGAGGAGAAAACUCAGGCCUGAUUUAUAGAUGAUCCUGCCCAAUAUGCAAUACAACCCACAAGUGGACAACUACACAAGACAGUCCCUUCUGGGACACCCUGAAGGACAGCGGUGAAGGAGAAUUAACUUUUCCAACCAGAAAUCAACAUCCUGAAGAGCCAGGAUCAGAGGACAUCAAAGGUUUAUUACCAGCCAGAUUAUUAUCAAGGAGCAGAGACAAUAAUUAUUACAUUGUUGACAAACAGAUACAUUUUUGCUUUCUGGUCCCUUCAUGUUGUACUCAGGAUUAGUAUUUUUAGGAAGAUUAGAGAAUACUUUGCAGAAUACCUUAAGUGAUAAAAAGUCACUAGGGAGUAUAUUUGCAGCUCAGCAUGUGGGACCAAAGAAGUUCAGCUCAUUGCCUGAUCUAAAAAUAAUCAUCCUUGAUGUAGAAUCCUGUUAGGUUCAGAAAUGUAACAUAUAAGCUAAAAUAUUUCUACCUAUCUCAGAAGUCCCAAUUAUACAAAUUUAUAUCUGCAGAUCUCAUAGUCUAAAAUCGGAUGCAUCUCUC
rnacentral:lncRNA from 1 species